rnacentral:tRNA from 1 species
GCAGUCGUGGCCGAGUGGUUAAGGCGAUGGACCAGAAAUCCAUUCGGGUCUCCCCGCACAGGUUCGAAUCCUGUUGACUGCG